rnacentral:rRNA from 1 species
UGCGUAGGCGGGCUAAUAAGUCAGUGGUGAAAUCUUUCGGCUCAACCGAGAAACUGCCAUUGAUACUGUUAGUCUUGAGUUCGGUUGAGGUAGGCGGAAUGUGUAAUGUAGCGGUGAAAUGCUUAGAUAUUACACAGAACACCAAUUGCGUAGGCAGCUUACUAGACCGACACUGACGCUGAGGCACGAAAGCGUGGGUAGCGAACAGGAUUAGAUACCCUGGUAGUCC